rnacentral:rRNA from 1 species
AACGAACGCUGGCGGCAUGCCUAACACAUGCAAGUCGAACGAGACCUUCGGGUCUAGUGGCGCACGGGUGCGUAACGCGUGGGAACCUGCCCUUAGGUUCGGAAUAACUCCCCGAAAGGGGUGCUAAUACCGGAUAAUGUCUUCGGACCCAAGAUUUAUCGCCCUUGGAUGGGCCCGCGUUGGAUUAGCUAGUUGGUAGGGUAAAAGCCUACCAAGGCGACGCUCCAUAGCUGGUCUGAGAGAAUGAGCAGCCACACUGGGACUGAGACACGGCCCAGACUCCUACGGGAGGCAGCAGUGGGUAAUAUUGGACAAUGGGCGAGAGGCUGAUCCAGCAAUGCCGCGUGAGUGAUGAAGGCCUUAGGGUUGUAAAGCUCUUUUACCCGGGAUGAUAAUGACAGUACCGGGAGAAUAAGCUCCGGCUAACUCCGUG